GGCCGCAAGGCUAAAACUCAAAGGAAUUGACGGGGGGCUCACACAAGCGGUGGAGCAUGUGGAUUAAUUCGAAGCAACGCGAAGAACCUUACCUGGGUUUGACAUGCUAGGAUGCACCCGUGAAAGCGGGCUAUGCUACUCUUUGAGUGAAACUAGCACAGGUGCUGUACGGCUGUCGUCAGCUCGUGCUGUGAAGUGUCGGGUUAAGUCCCUAAACGAGCGAAACCCCUAUCGUUAGUUACCAGCGGGUCAUGCCGGGGACUCUAGCGAGACUGCCGGCGUCAAGCCGGAGGAAGGUGGGGACGACGUCAAGUCAUCAUGGCCUUUAUGCCCAGGGUGUCACACGUGCUACAAUGGCGGCUACAGAGCGCUGCAAUACCGUGAGGUGGAGCAAAUCGCAGAAAAGUCGCCUCAGUUCGGAUUGGAGUCUGCAAUUCGACUCCAUGAAGUUGGAAUCGCUAGUAAUCGCGUAUCAGCCACGACGCGGUGAAUAUGUUCCUGAGCCUUGUACACACCGCCCGUCAAGUCAUGGAAGCUGGGAGUACCCGAAGUCCGCUUAGCUAACCCUCGGGAGGCGGCG
rnacentral:rRNA from 1 species